AACGAACGCUGGCGGCGUGGAUUAGGCAUGCAAGUCGAACGGAGUUUCUAGCUUUUUCGGAAACUUAGUGGCGAAAGGGUGAGUAACACGUGGGUUACCUGCCCUAGGGUUCGGGAUAACCUGUCGAAAGACGGGCUAAUACCGGAUACGUUUCCGUUAUGUCAUGUAACGGAUGGAAAGAUGGGGAUCCGUAAGGACCUAUCACCCUUGGAUGGGCCCGCGGCCUAUCAGCUAGUUGGUGAGGUAAUGG
rnacentral:rRNA from 1 species